UCUACGGGUGGCAGCAGUGAGGAAUAUUGGUCAAUGGCCGGAAGGCUGAACCAGCCAUGCCGCGUGAAGGUCAGUGCCCUAUGGGCGUUAAACUUCUUUUGUGCGGGAGCAAUAAUGGUCACGUGUGGCCAGACGAGAGUACCGUACGAAUAAGCAGCGGCUAACUCCGUGCCAGCAGUCGCAGUAAUACGGGGGGUGCAAGCGUUAUCCGGGAUUAUUGGGGUUAAAGGGUGAGUAGGCUGUGAGGUACGUCAGAGGUGAAAGGCCCCCGCUCAACGGGGUGAACUGACAUUGAUACUGGCUUGCUGGAAUGCGUAUGCGGUGGGAGGAAUGUGUGGUGUAGCGGUGAAAUGCAUAGAUAUCACACAGAACACCGAUUGCGAAGGCAUCUAACGAACCCGCGAUUGACGCUGAUGCACGAAAGCGUGGGUAUCAAACAGGAUUAGAUACCCUAGUAGUC
rnacentral:rRNA from 1 species